rnacentral:rRNA from 1 species
AGAGUUUGAUCCUGGCUCAGGACGAACGCUGGCGGCGUGCCUAAUACAUGCAAGUCGAGCGGAGGUAUAUCGUAUGAACGGAUUUAUCUGGAAGUGAUAUACUUUAGCGGCGGACGGGUGAGUAACGCGUGAGCAAUCUGGCCUAUACAGGGGGAUAACACAGGGAAACUUGUACUAAUACCGCAUAAUCUCCUUUGGUCGCAUGACCGAGGGAAGAAAGUGGCAACACGGUAAAGGGGGAGCUCGCGUUCUAUUAGAUAGUUGGUGAGGUAACGGCUCACCAAGUCAACGAUAGAUAGCCGACCUAAGAGGGUGAUCGGCCACACUGGAACUGAGACACGGUCCAGACUUCUACGGAAGGCAGCAGUAGGGAAUAUUGGGCAAUGGAGGGAACUCUGACCCAGCAACGCCGCGUGAAGGAAGAAGGUUUUCGGAUUGUAAACUUCUAUCCUUGGUGAAGAGAAGGACGGUAGCCAAGAAGGAAGCCCCGGCUAACUACGUGCCAGCAGCCGCGGUAAUACGUAGGGGGCAAGCGUUGUCCGGAAUGAUUGGGCGUAAAGGGCUCGUAGGUGGCAUGUCAAGUCUGAAGUGAAAGUCCUACUUUCAAGGUGGGAAUUGCUUUGGAAACUGGCAAGCUUGAGUAUAGGAGAGGUUAGUGGAAUUCCUAGUGUAGCGGUGAAAUGCGUAGAGAUUAGGAGGAACAUCAGUGGCGAAGGCGACUAACUGGACUAAAACUGACACUGAGGAGCGAAAGUGUGGGUAGCAAACAGGAUUAGAUACCCUGGUAGUCCACACUGUAAACGAUGAAUGCUAGGUGUAGGAGGUAUCGACCCCUUCUGUGCCGCAGUAAACACAGUAAGCAUUCCGCCUGGGGAGUACGGCCGCAAGGUUAAAACUCAAAGAAAUUGACGGGGGCCCGCACAAGCAGCGGAGCAUGUGGUUUAAUUCGAAGCAACGCGAAGAACCUUACCAGGUCUUGACAUCUGAUAAAAGCAUAGGAGACUAUGUGUGAGCUUGCUCAUAUCAAGACAGGUGGUGCAUGGUUGUCGUCAGCUCGUGUCGUGAGAUGUUGGGUUAAGUCCCGCAACGAGCGCAACCCUAUUUACUAGUUACUAACAGGAUAGCUGAGGACUCUAGUGAGACUGCCGGGGACAACUCGGAGGAAGGUGGGGACGACGUCAAAUCAUCAUGCCCCUUAUGACCUGGGCUACACACGUGCUACAAUGGCCACUACAGAGAGAAGCGAGGGAGUGAUCCGGAGCGAAUCUCAAAAAAGUGGUCACAGUUCGGAUUGUAGGCUGCAACCCGCCUACAUGAAGCCGGAGUUGCUAGUAAUCGCGGAUCAGCAUGCCGCGGUGAAUACGUUCCCGGGCCUUGUACACACCGCCCGUCACACCAUGGGAGUUGAGAGCACCCGAAGCCGGUGAGGUAACAGAAAUGGACCAGCCGUCGAAGGUGAGAUCAAUGACUGGGGUGAAGUCGUAACAAGGUAGCCGUAUCGGAAGGUGCGGCUGGAUCACCUCCUU